rnacentral:lncRNA from 1 species
UAAUCAUUUUGCUUUUUUCAAUUAAGAUACUAAACAGAUAAGAAAAAUGUUUGGAGUGUUUUCAUGUUAAAUGGGUCCUGUUCCCAAGAGGGUGACAAGCCACUGGAUUCUGUGGACUCUGCGCUCCGGAGAGCCCAGGGCGUGAAGCAGGAUACAGAGGGGCUGAAUCAGGAUGGCCUGAGCCAGUCUUUCAUAGACCCUGCAAACAUCAGCCCUGGACAGAGGGAAGCCCGGAGGCCCAGCCAGCCAAAAGACAGCUUUCCUGGGAAGGUAUCUCCAAGUGACAUGACACCAGAUAAAGUCUUCUCUUCCCUUCCUGCUUCCACCUCGCCGUGUCCUGGCUAUGGAGCCCAAUAGAUUGGGGCUUAAACCCUCGCUCUGCCCUCUACUGUUCGUGCAGUCUCAGGCAAACCAUGAAACGUCUCUGAGCCUCGGCUUCCUCAUCUGGAAAAUGCAGGUGCCCAGGGCCUGCCUGUCAAAGGUUCAUGGCCCAGAAGUCUCAGCUGACGACCCAAGGUGCGUGGAGGACCCAAGGUGCAAGGAGGCCCCAAGGGAUCAGCAAAUGCCAGUGGGCACCACUGGAGAGUCAGACACAAGACAGACCCUGAGUUCCCCAGUGUGUCCUGGAUGGAGGAAACUCAGCGUGGGGAAGGCUGAGGCUUGGGCUAUGCCUACUGUGUGCACGACCUAGGUCUUGGAGCUAGAGCCACAAACUCUAAGCAGGUGGACACUCUCCCUUCAAUGAGGCUCAGUCCAGGACACCAGUUAAACAGUAAAACAAAUCACUGAAGGGCGAAGAAAUGUCCCCAUGCCAGGGCCUGAGCUGUAAAUAAAACUACUGCUAACACGCCAUGAGAGCUCCCCAGCAGCUGGUCUCGGCACCCUCAUGUAUUAACUCAUUUGAUCCUUCCAUCAGUCCAACCAGUGCGUGAUGCUAUCCCUAUUUCACAAACAGGGGAAACUGAGAAAUAGAGAGCACAUGUGACUUGCCCCAGGUCAUGUGUCUA